rnacentral:rRNA from 1 species
UACGGGGGGGGCAAGCGUUGUUCGGAAUUACUGGGCGUAAAGGGUUCGUAGGUGGCUUGUUAAGUCAGACGUGAAAUCCCUCAGCUUAACUGGGGAACUGCGUCUGAGACUGUGAGCUUGAGUGCAGGAGAGGAACGCGGAAUUCCAGGUGUAGCGGUGAAAUGCGUAGAUAUCUGGAGGAACACCGGUGGCGAAGGCGGCGUUCUGGACUGCAACUGACACUGAUGAACGAAAGCCAGGGGAGCAAACGGG